ACAUGUGAAUCCCUGCUUGCAAUUCAGCCACUUCCAUUGUAACUCAAGGCAUAUUGUCAAAUAGGGGAGGGGAUGGAUGGCUUUCCGGGGUUAGAAGACGGAAGAUGGUUCUAGAAGCCUGACAUGCAAAGAAGCAUCCAGAGAUAUUUAACCGGGAGAAUCGCAGGAAGCACCACGACACAUGUGGGUUCCCCAACCAGGAUCAAACCCACACCCCUCAGAGUGGAAGCAUGGAGUCUUAACCACUGGACCACCAGGGAAGUCCCCGUUUUCCUGUUCAGAUUUUUAACUGCAGUAUUUAUGAGGCUUCUGUCUGACAGCCUGGGGUUUUAAACCUUAUUUCAACCUAUUGUUCACCUGGCAGAAUUUGCUGGAGCUCAGGCAGGAGGAGAGUGAGGAAGGAUUGUCUGAGAUCCUGAGGAACUAGCUUUUCUGGCCUUUGAGGAAGGAAUGAGAAGUACUCUUGGACCACUCUUUGACAAAGCUCCCACAUACAACAUCUUUGAGCCUGUGGCUCAGGAGAAAAGAGCAGGGGAAACUAUUCAGGAGAGAAAUGAUUUUACAUAAAAGUCAUGUCUGGCAACUAUCACAGUGUGCAGGAAAGAAAUAAAUACUUCUUAAAACAGAAGGUGAAGGCACAUGUCUCUGGAAAUUUAGAAAUGUUCCUAAGAGUGAUCUAGAUGAAGGAUCUAUGGGAGGAGACAUAAGAACACUCUGGACAGAAUCAUUCAUGCUGAAUGUGAGCUCAGAAACCUGAGCUGAGGUCAUACUGCACGCUCGGGAAACCGCCGAAGAAGCCCAUUGGAUCACAGCUACCAGCCUACACUUGUUGCCCCAAGAUCGAUACCAGUAUCCCUGUAGGUAGUCACCUUAUAGCUUGGUGAUUGCAUUUAAAGUUUAAUAAGCCAGUAAUCAAUGAUUUUUAUGGUUUAUUAUUUUCAUAUGAAA